UUUGAUAUAUGUCAUGAUAAUCAUACUGUGUAGAAGACGCAUGCAGUUAUUCUAAUUUUAAAACUAUUAUAUGUUACUGAGCCUUGAAUAAUAUUACUGGUUUUGGGUGGUUAGUCUUGCUAAGCUGGGUAAAUAUCAAGAGAGGGAAAGAUUCCUUUAGGAGGAAUUCUUUUCCCAGUGUGGCCAAUUUCAUCACAGUAAUGCUUACCGAGGACUGAUGCGGACUUGAUUUAGGCAUGUUUUUAGAAACGUGAGGACAGGUAAUUUGCCAAAAAUUUCUGACACUUCUCCCGUUUAAACUAAGGAGCAAGCUGCCUGUAAAAGCCUGAUACUUGAAGCUCUAUUCUGAAAAAAUAGGAUUGUCAUUGGGACACUCCCCCUUCCUCUCCCCCCCCCCCCCCCAAAAAAAAAAAGAAGCAGGGAAGUGUGUGAAUCGUAUACUUCUCUUGGUAAGAAAUUCCCUUUUCUUUCAUGUUCGGUGAUGUUAGAACUCUGUAAUAAAGGCCAUUUAGGUUUCCUGAGAAGAUGCCAUUUAAUACGGUUAGCUAAAAAAGCAGAUUUGGCAAGGCUUUUAACUGGAUAACUGGGUGUUUAUCAAUUAAUGCCCAGUAAGCAGUAAGAGGGAGACUGUGACUGGGAGAGGAAAGGCAUUUAUGUUAUGUUCAGAAAUCUUUUCCCUUCUUUGGUAACUAGUAGUGAGAUGAAUCUAAGUUCCGCAGGAUAAAAGGAGAAUUCCUUAAAAAAUGGAGUGAAAUGUUUAGAUUGAAAGAAGUUUUUUGUGUAUACUGUUUGUAUGAAAAUACAUAGAUAAACACUGGGAGAGUGAUUACAAUUUACUGAACAUUAGACAUAGCAAGUUGAUGUUUAUGGAAAUGGCAUUUACCAGGUAAUAUCAGAAAAACAUUGCUUUUUUUUUUUCCAAGUUAAAUUAUGGUCUCUCUUAAAAGAUUUAUUCUAACAAAAUGUGUAGAAAACCUGGCAGUUACUGUUAGGCUUCAGCAAGGAAUUGGGAACUUGUAACGUUUACUAGCAACCCAGUGAAACAUGCAAAAAGAAAACAUGCAGUCACAAAUCCAAAGUAGGAAUUGCUUGAAGAGGUUUGAGAUGCCUUAGACUGAUGUCAUGCAGUGUCCAUAAAUAAUUUUCAUUAUUGUUACCUGAGACGUCUGUCUGCAGUCAUUCAGAGCAGGGUAUAACACCCUAACGAUUUGAUUCUGUGCCCGCUAGGUCAAUGGAAAUAUAAUCAACUCCUUACAGGAAACAGGUAGCAAUCCUGUGUCAGAGAGAGAGAAUAAUUGCAGUAGUGUAUUAUUUAAAGCAGAAGGUUACUUAUAUUUGCAGGACAGCUUCUCUUCUCUUUGGGGCGAAACAGUCAGCUUAGACACCAUGACUCAAGACCCUGCUGGGUUAUGGAGGCAAAGACUAUUUCUCUCAAAAUCUGAAUGAAAAGCAUGAGACUAAAGAAACUUUUUUUUUUUUUUUUUUAAUAGGUCAGAUUAGGCAAUAGUGGUAAGUUUGGUAUUCCACAGCAGGAAUGCAGUCAAAAAUGGGGACACUCACUCAUAGAAAACAGUUGGGUGUGUGAACAUGUUUUGACUUGCCUACUCCUGGGUUCAUUAGCUGUCAGGGGGGAAUCCGUAUGUCUGAUGUCUUCUUUUGCUUUAAUUCUCUUAUUAUUUCAGCUCCAUGUUAUGUCUUUAUCCAUUUGGAUAAGGAUGACUUUCAAUGGUACAGCAACACUUCAGGAAUUACACAGCCUUGCCAAUAAGGUUGUGAAUUGCUUUCAUCAAAGACCUAUGUUUGUGCAAAAUACCAGAGACUACAGAGGUAGUAACCAGGCCUGAGAAUCAAACAUGAAUAUUUUGAGAUGCUACAGAAAAUGGUUUUGUAUCUGCCUGUCUGGUGUUUUGCUCAUUUGCUCAGCAUGCUGCUGAUCAUUAGAUUGAAGCUGGAAAAAUCAAGUUGGCAGCAACUUUAAAUGUUAUAGAUUUUUGCCAUCUGCUACAGCAGCAGUUACUGGUCAGCUCUAAAGAUACCAGCUCCCUGACUCUUCAGGGACCCUGGAUAUUUGCAGCGUAAGGUGUCACCCCCUUUGGAAACAUGCUGUCUUUGGAGGACUAGCAAACUUCAAUUCUUUAAAAUCAAUUUACUUCUCUUUUUUGUUCUAUCUGUCCACAUUUCAGCUCUUUCAUUUUAUUUCCCAUUUGUGGUUUUAGCAUCUGGACCAUUUGCUCCUCAUCUGUCUAAUAUUAAAAAUAAUAGUGUGACUAAAACUCACAACAAAUCUUUCUAAUUGAUUUUGUGACCUAACUCUUGAUAAUUCUAUAAUUUCUCCCUACAGUUUUCCUACUCUGUAUUUUCCCAUUUCAGGGACAACUUUUUCUGCUUCCUUCCAGGUAGCGAAUACAUGGCCUAUGAAGUUCUCACCAGCAUACAAGGCGAGAAAGAAGACGGAACUUCUCAUGCAGCCCAGAGGAGCCAGUCACUAGCAGGAACUUGAUCAGCAGAACGGCUUUCAAUGUUUUUUGUAAAAUAUGGACACUCGACCUGGAUGAAUACUAAGGCACUCCAUACCUUCUGAGGACUACUGGACAAGACCGGAUCUCUAAUGAACCUAAUGAUAAUUAUGUUAAGAAUUGUCUAUCGAAUCUAUGACCUUUAAUCUCUUAGUAGGUGCUGUAAUGACACCUAUUGCUUCAGCACUAUAUGGCAUGUGACAGAAGCAAGAACUCUGAUAGAAGCCUUAGUAUAUUACAUCCAACUUUAUCAGCUCAUAACUUGUCAAACAGUAGUAAGAAAUUCGCUUGAUAAGAUCUAGUUUUCCAUUUAAAAAAUCUUAAUGGCAAUUGGAUUUCCUUCCUAUAAUUAUUAUUACUUUGACAGUAGGACCUUAGUCAAUCAGUUCUCUUAAAAUCUGUCAAAGAGAAGUUGUUGUUUUCCGAGCAGCACACUUGGAAGCGUUAGCUGUAUCUAGCCAGCUUAAUAUCUGUUCCUGCUUGUUAUGUAGAAAAAACAUCAGGUUCUUGUUAAUAACAGAAUUCAUGGCUGGGAAAUAAUAGCAAUUGAUCAAAAUGAUGGAUAAAGUGUAAUAAAGCCAAUUAACUACACGAACAUUCGUAUAACAGCAGGUGGGAAAUGAGAGGCUCACAUCAAAGAUGUAUAUUACGGGAAAAAAUACCUACCAUUCCCUCCUUUGUUUUCUGAGGAGAAUCAGGGGUGAUUUAAAAAAAAAAAAAAAAAAUCCUCUACUGCUCAGAAGUCGUAUGUUAUGAAAUGAUACGUUACAUCCAAUGGACUGUUCUUUACAGGGAACUAUGAUACUGCUGGAAUUGAAAAAAUAAAAGGUCUACUUUUUGUAUUGAAUGCAGUAGUUUAUAAAAUAAUUGUAAUAAAGCUUCCUUCAAAGUAA